CUUGGUUGCAUUCUCUAUUCUAUCGAAGUGGUAUUAAACAUCAACAAUCAAUCUUAUACAAAAGUAAAAUUACAGCAAGUGCUCAGCUUUCAUCUUGACCGAAGGUUUCAGUGAAUGAUGUACAAAGAUACAAACAGACAUGUAAAAUAAAAUUUUAUUCACAAUUUACAAACCAAUCAAAUUUAAUACAAUACCAUUGGCACUUAUGAGGCAUACUAUCGUAUAUACAUAAGAUUUACAAAAAACAAAUCUGAAACAAUAAAAUUAUUGAUUGAUGUCAACAAAUUAUGCUGUAUAAUGAAAAUGCAAUAUCUGUUUCUCAAUACUGUGAACAUAUAACAAUCCAUUUGAACUAUGUAGCAAUUAUCUUGGAUGCAAGAGUGGUGAAUCACAAAUAUGGUGAGUAUAUUACAUCGUGCAAAUUAAACAUAUUUUGCACAUUGUUUCAAAGGGCAGUAGCUGUCAAAUUUAUGUUCGCCUAUUUUUGACUUAAAUUCUCAUCGGAUUUAUACCAUACUAAAACAUAUAGCUAAUUCACGAGACAUUUAACAAUGUAUUAUUUAUUUCUCUAAUUUUUGUGCUAUUUUCACAUUUCCUGACCGGCGUGAGAAAAAUAUUUCUCCACACAAGUGAAAAAUCUGUUCUUGUCAAAUGAUUAGUCGAAAUUUGAUUAUGACGUUUAAAUGUUUUGUUUUCUUCUGAAUUUUCCUAUUGUGACGUCAUGACGACAGUUAAAUUUUAGUUAUUUAAAGAGCUUGGCAAGCCUCACGCUUUAAAUAAUAAAAUUUAACUGUCUCGAGUGGAGAAAUAUAUGAUACACUAAUGUUGCAGUGUAUGAAUCAGAUUUUCAUGAAUUUUGUAGAAUAAAAAUGUUUAAGGUCAAAUUUUUUAAAGUUGUGACAAAUUUUCAUAUCCACAGGAUUUUCUAUCAAUUUUGGAGAGCUCUCCUUGUUUCAGACGUAUAAAAACUUUAGAAGUUAAAAUCAAGUCUUUAUUAUAGUAUGUAGAAUCAAUGCAAUUGUUCAAUUUUCCUCUUCAGUACUUGACAUGCCACACUUCUAUUGAGCCAUGCCAAGUGCAGUCCUUUAUCAUAGUCAAUUGUAAGAGAUUCAACAGUAGUGAGAAACAGAUUAACUUCAAAUGACCUUCAAAUACUUCAUGAACAGAUGAUGAAUGCUUUAACAUGGAAAGAUUUAACAAUAAUCAAACAAAAAGUUAUAAAAAAUAAAUCAAAUACAAUCCUCAAAAUAACAUGUUUAUUAGUAUACUGAGUUUAAAAAUGUCAUUGAAAGUUAAUUGAUAGGAUAUCUGAUGUGUAAAGACAAUAGUCCUGCAACUCUUUCCACUAAAAAUCUUACAAGUAAAAACACUUGUAAGUUAUGAACAUUUCAGAAACACUCACAAUCAAUUUUACUCAUAAGAUUUUUUGUGAAAAGAGCCCCUAUUCCUGUGAGUAAUUUGACAUCAUUGAAGAAUUGAUUAACUGAUGUUAAAUUACACCAUAUACGGUACACACAAGUGAAACAUAGACAUUGGGCGUGAUAAUACACUCUAGCUAAUAAACAAGCUUUGUCAUAUUUUAUUGAAAAUCCCUAAGUUUUACUGAUCUAAAAGAAGACACUUAAUUUUUUUGCAUAGUAGAACAAAUGAAUUCCCUUGUCUGUACUGUAAAAUAAAGUACAAUACUGUGGAAUCAUUAAUAUUUGUUGGAUACCAAAUUUCGUGGGUAAUGAAAUGUCCACGAAGUUAAAUAUUUGACGAAUUACAAGUUUUCUUAAGGAAUGUAUGCAGACAUUGCUGAAACCACGAAAUUAAAUAUCAACGAAUAUGUAAGUUUUCCUCAAACCACGAAAAUUGGUACUCAUGAAAAUAAAUGAAUGUACAAUAUAUAUUUAUAAAUGAAUAGCAAUGAAGUAGAUAUUUAAUUUUUCUCAAUUUAACCACAAAACAAAAGAGUGGCAAUACAUGAACUUGAUUGCUCUAAGGCCAAUAAAAAUAUAUGUGUGGUUCCAGUUACCCGACCGACCCUAGAACUUUUAUUCAUUUCUGAAUUUUCAAACAAUCAAAUUUUGAGGAUAGUGAAUUUAUAUGAUUAAAUUCAAGGAUUUCUGUCAUCUCCGGGUUGAGGAGUGUAUUAUACCGGAAUCAAUUACGGUAAACACACUAUUUGUUUCUGGAUUUUGACAAUCCAAAAUAAAAAUUUAGAAAAAAUAAAAUAAAAUUUUUGACCGAUGGACUCUAUUUUUUAAAAGGAUGUAACUGGAACCACAUAUAUAUUAUUAUUUGGCCUAAGCUGUAUAAAUCAAAAAUUAACUUUCAAUGAAAUUUUUAGACUCAGUG
rnacentral:lncRNA from 1 species